AGCCUAGUCAGCUUAGUUGGUAAUGCGUCUGCCUUGUAAGCGCUAGGCCGCGGGUUCAAUUCCCGCCCGGGCCG
rfam:Asian citrus Psyllid, Diaphorina citri - Florida Strain, whole genome shotgun sequence.